rnacentral:rRNA from 1 species
UAGCAGUGAGGAAUAUUGGUCAAUAGCCUAACGGCUGAACCAGCAACUUGAAGGAAUGUAUAGCGAAAGCUAGUUGUGCUUAAUUUAGCGAAAGCUAAUGUGGUGCAAUAUUGACUACGUCAAAUAAAGUUCUGGGUAGAAUUAUGAUGGUGACAUUGUCUAUCUAUGUGUCUUGACCAAAUUACGUGCCAGCAGUCGCGGUAACACGUAAAAGACUAGUGUUAUUCAUCUUUAAUAGGUUUAAAGGGUACCUAGACAGCCUAUCAAGCCCCCCUAAAAUGGUACUAAUAGGCUAGAGUUUAAUAUAAGGAGGCAUUAAAGUACUGAGAACGUAGAGAGAUGAAAUUCUGUGAUACUAUAUAUGGCACUGGUAGAGGCGAAAGCAUCUUAUUAUGUAAAAACUGACGUUGAGGGACGAAGGCUGUGUGUAGCAAAAAGGAU